GACGAACGCUGGCGGCGUGCUUAACACAUGCAAGUCGAACGGAAAGGCCCUGCUUUUGUGGGGUGCUCGAGUGGCGAACGGGUGAGUAACACGUGAGUAACCUGCCCUUGACUUUGGGAUAACUUCAGGAAACUGGGGCUAAUACCGGAUAGGAGCUCCUGCUGCAUGGUGGGGGUUGGAAAGUUUCGGCGGUUGGGGAUGGACUCGCGGCUUACCAGCUUGUUGGUGGGGUAGUGGCUUACCAAGGCUUUGACGGGUAGCCGGCCUGAGAGGGUGACCGGCCACAUUGGGACUGAGAUACGGCCCAGACUCCUACGGGAGGCAGCAGUGGAGAAUAUUGCACAAUGGGUGGAAGCCUGAUGCAGCAACGCCGCGUGCGGGAUGACGGCCUUCGGGUUGUAAACCGCUUUCGCCUGUGACGAAGCGUGAGUGACGGUAAUGGGUAAAGAAGCACCGGCUAACUACGUG
rnacentral:rRNA from 1 species